AUUGCUGUGGUCGUCAGUCGCCACGUAUCAAACAUGUUUCAAUGCUAAUAUUAUACUGUCAUUUUUGAUAUUAGGAUUUACGACGUGAAAAUAUAAUUAUAAUAAGUAUAAUAUUAUAGCAUUAGACAUAUACAAGUAUAAACUAGAAAAGUAGAAACGCUAUAACUUAAGUUUUGAGCACGGACGUACUUAACGGUUUCACGUUGGACUUAUUCAGACGUUCAGUCUCCAGUCUCUAUUUGCCCGUGUAAUAUUCCAGAUAGUACCUACAGUGUAUCAUUAAAUCACUUUAAUUUUUAUUUACAAACAUGGACAAGACGGUGGCAUUAAGAAAUGGCGGUAGUAUAAUGCUUCUGAUUUCAAUUCUCUUGGGAGCUGGUGUUGCAAUAUGGGAUCAUAGAGAACAAUUGAAAGAGUUCAUAAAAAAACUCUUUAGAAAAGAAAAGACAGAUCAUGAACAACUUUUUGAGCAGUUAGAUUUAUUGCAAACACAAAGAAGAUAAACCUCUAAACUCCGCAAACUUGAAGUAUAACGAUAACCUGUCCAGUUCAUCUUGGCACUCAGCAAAAGUUACAAUUUAAAAAAAAAAAAAACUAUGGCUGAAAAAUACAUAAUAUUGAAAAAAAUAUCAUAGUUCUAGGGAGUAAAAUAGAGUGAGUAUAUUUUUAAAAAAUUUUAAUAUGGUUUUCAGACUUCUAUUAUUUUUUUAAUGGUUGCAAAUAUAGUCGACCAGUUGAACUAGAUGACCCAUAUACAAGCACUGAUUUAUUUUUAUGUAAUUAUUGUAAUUAUUUAUAACCGAUCGGAAUGGAAUGUAUAUUUGCUUUUUUGGUAUAGCUUAAAAGUUAAAGGUAUUAUAACAGGGGUGGCCAAACCGCGUCAUAGACUUUUGUGGCUCGUAUCUUAAGGUAACAUUAGAUUAACGUAAGAG